GGGUCAGUAGGUUGGUCGUGCCAACGGUACGUACUGGUCUCACUGAUUCCUCCUUCCUGAAGAACCGUAAUGCCAUUAAUUUGGUGUUGCGGGGAAUCAGGACUGUUACUUUGAAAAAAUUAGAGUGUUUAAAGCAAGCUAACGCUUGAAUACAUUAGCAUGGAUUAAUGAAAUAGGACGAUCGAUCCUAUUUUGUUGGUUUCUAGGAUUGACGUA
rnacentral:rRNA from 1 species